AACGCACCUUGCGCCUCUUGGUAUUCCGAGAGGCAUGCCUGUUUGAGUGUCAUGAAAUCUCAAUCCCCCCGGGUUUAUCGACCCGGGCCGGGACUUGGACUUGGGCGUCCUGCCGGUCAAACGGCUCGCCUCAAAUGACUUAGUGGAUCUCUCAGCAUCCGUGACAGACGUGAUAAGUUUCGUCUCGUCCCUUGCCGAUGAGUCCGCUCACAACCCGCCAUCGCGCACCUUUAGACUCUGACCUCAAAUCAGGUAGGACUACCCGCUGAACUUAA
rnacentral:misc_RNA from 1 species